UCGUAAGCUUUUUGUGGAAAAUGUUUGGCAUGAAUUUUUAAAGCAACUGUAGUGCUAGAUUUUUGUCUCAAUUCUUCAAAAAAAAAUUUGGGUGAUUUAAAGUUUCAAAAAAGUUCAAAUUUAGGCAUGCGUAUAUAAUUUUGAGAAACUUUUAAUAAAAUUUGUGGAUUGUGUAACAAUUCAAAUUUCUUACACGCACAAAAAUGUUGCUAGUUUGAAUCAACAAACAUGUUUAUUAAAAUCAACUGCCAUAUUUUAUCGAGUCAACUCACAAAUUUAAUGAAUUCAAUAAACACCUUUAGCCAUCCAACCAUCAUGUUAUUCAGUUUGACAAACUGGUUUAUCGUUUGAGCGUUUCUUCUUUUAAACGUGUAGGGAAAUUUUACUGUGUACUUUCUGUUCAAUAUUCUGCUUUCAAGAUGGCGAACGGGCCAAACAUAAGAAAAUAUCGUGCAAUAUUUUUAUAAAUUAUAAAUCGUGCGAUCGAAUCUUCAUAUUUAUCAUGACAAUUUAAAAAAAGGAUCAAUUUGAAGCUGUUAUCAUAAAAAAGUGACCUCUUUUGAGGAUUCAUCAAGUUGCUCGAAUAGGAUAUUUCUUUAUUUUCCCCUAGCUGUGGACGCCGAAGGGAGCAGGUCUAUCAGGUUCUUCCAUGUUGGCAACUGCAGCGAUGAUCCAAGCUCCAGAAACCGAUGGCGGAAAGUGACAUCGGUUGAGAUCGGUGUUUGGCCACGUAUGUCGAGAAUCAUCACUUAAAAAUUAAUGCAUUUUUAUGUUUCUUGCUCAAAAGAGUUGAAUAAUAAUAAUUGAAAAACAAAAUCUUGACUUUGACAUAUUCAACAAAACAAAACAUUAUGGAACGGUAAAAAGAUGGAUUGAAUCAACAAUCGUGAUGUUUCAACCAACCUAUCAUGAUAGUUCCUUUGACAAUCAUGUUUGUUGGUUUGAUAAAAGCGAUUAUAAAAAUUACAAACAAACAACGUUUUGAUGACAACAAUCUCGUUUAUUAAGCCCACAAACAUGUUAGGUUGAAUUUGGCAAACAUGUUUGCUGGCCCUGAGAUGACAAACAUGUUUGUGAGGUGCAUCAAACAUUUUGCCAGAUUCACAAUCGGAUUUUUCUGCGUGUAUUAAAAGCUUGUAACUUUGGAGAUAAAAAGUUUGAAGUAGUUAAAUUCAGUGUUAGGUCAUAUUAGUACGAACAACUUGAACUCUAUUACAUAGGAAAAGUUCUCCACGAAAUCAGUCGAUUUCUUUGUAUUCGGCAAAAUUGUAGGACUAAUCAGAAAAAAAAACAAAAUUUACCAAGUUUUUAAUUAUAUUUUUAUUAUAAAUAGUUGAAUUCCCAAAUCCGCUACAAUUUUUUGAAGAAAGAGUUAAUUUUAGCAAUUUUUUACAUGCUUUUUUGAUGAAAAAACGAUUUUUGUUUUUGGACACAUUUUUGAAAAAAAGUGAAUAGUUAUUUAAUUAUUUAAGUUUGACUAUGAGAAAAAAAAAACAAUUCUGAAAUAAAAAUUUCAAAAAGUUGAAGUUCUAAGUAUCA